UACGGAGGGUGCAAGCGUUAUCCGGAUUCACUGGGUUUAAAGGGUGCGUAGGUGGGCCAGUAAGUCAGUGGUGAAAUCUCCGGGCUUAACCCGGAAACUGCCAUUGAUACUAUUUGUCUUGAAUACUGUGGAGGUCAGCGGAAUAUGUCAUGUAGCGGUGAAAUGCUUAGAUAUGACAUAGAACACCAAUUGCGAAGGCAGCUGGCUACACAAAUAUUGACACUGAGGCACGAAAAGCGUUGGGGAUCAAACAGG
rnacentral:rRNA from 1 species